rnacentral:rRNA from 1 species
CCUACGGGAGGCAGCAGUGGGGAAUUUUGGACAAUGGGCGCAAGCCUGAUCCAGCAAUGCCGCGUGCAGGAAGGAGGCCUUCGGGUUGUAAACUGCUUUUGUACGGAACGAAACGGUCUGGGUUAAUACCUCGGGCCAAUGACGGUACCGUAAGAAUAAGCACCGGCUAACUACGUGCCAGCAGCCGCGGUAAU